rnacentral:rRNA from 1 species
UAGGGAAUCUUCCACAAUGGACGAAAGUCUGAUGGAGCAACGCCGCGUGAGUGAAGAAGGUUUCCGGAUCGUAAAGCUCUGUUGUUGGUGAAGAAGGAUAGAGGCAGUAACUGGUCUUUAUUUGACGGUAAUCAACCAGAAAGUCACGGCUAACUACGUGCCAC